UACACGGAUACUUCAGAAAGUGCGCGUAUCCUGCCGGAUACUGCCCCGAUACUCAGAUACUGCCCUGAUACUGCCCGAUACGUAUCCCGUAAGUAUUCUGUGAUUUAUUGAUUUUAAAAAAAGAAAAUAGUGUUUGAUACCUCUGGGAUACAUUUUGGAUACGGCAACCCCUUCGUUCGACGUAUAAAAAUGAAAACUCCUCGAUCCCCUCCUAGCGCCGCCGCACGUCAUCAAUUCCCAGCUGGCCACCUCGUCCCCUCGACUCUUUGGAGCAGGCGAGCAGCCACAGCCCGCAGGUCUCCAACUCUCCAUAACUCUCAGCUCCAGUCCUCUCCUCUCCCACAUGUUCUUCUCCAACUCUCCGUCCAAUCGACGCUGAUCGGUCGCCGGCUCGUCGCCGGCAGAAGACAUCCGUGUCUCCCUUGCAGGAGAUCGGCCAUAGGGUCUUCUUCAGUUAGAAGUGACGCAGGUAGUGGAGGUAGCGUGGAUGCAGUCCAUGUAUUGGCUACUGCUCGUGUGAUUCCGGAAGAUGAUAAUGAGAAGAAGCCUUUGUGGAGGUACGUCCAGAUGUUGGAAAAUACUGGGAAAGGGAAAGGAGGCAACAAGAGAUCCAUGCAGUAUUUGUUAAGCAAUCGUGAAGACUUCAAGUUUUUUAAUAAAACAGUGCAUUUCCUAUAAAAAAACUCGUUAUUUUUUCAUAUAUUUAAUAAUUAAUAUGUAUAUACAGACGUAUCCCCGUAUCCUAGUUUUUAGAAAAUUGCUGUAUCGGGCGUAUCCCCGUAUCACGUAUCCGAUACGUAUCCAAGUAUCCGUGCAACGUAGACCACACCUAGAAGCCGGAUAUGACCAAUUAAGGAUUAUUAAACCGGGCGAAGACGGUGGCCUUGGCUUCAUCCAUCUCUCACAUUUCCACGCGCAGAUAUGGAAGAGGAAGCCUGAUUGUAAUGGUUUGGCUGUAUGGGUGAUCGACAGAGCUAUUGAAUUCAAGGAACUUAGAUCAAAUUGCAAGGGCUACUCCCUCACUUUAGUUGGGUUUGUCGAGGAGAGUAAUGCAAUCCUUGUACUGACAGCUUCUGGCGUCUUCAUGGUAUAUCCCCAGCCAAUGGAGUUUAAGAAACUCUCCAAAUUGUGGGUCUUCUGUCUCUAUUAUCCAUUUGCAUCUUUCUAUCCUGCAGGUAAUAGCAAGCCUUUAUAUAAUUUUCUUUGCAGUAUUAUAAGAUAAUUUGUUUUGUAAUUAGUUGCUGAAAUGCCAUCCUUGAGUGUUAUGCUGAUGAUUGAAGUUCAAAUAACAUCAAUUUUAUCCUUUUGCUGCUUGAUGAAUUCUUUAAAAGAAAAUAGUACUUAAGGUCACUGUUCUUUUCUGUUGGUAAAAUGCAUAAAUUGUUUUCAAAUGUGGUCUUGUGUGCCUAUCUGAAAUAUAUAUAUAUCUUUUCAGCACCUGAUGCAUAACAGUUGCAAAUCGACGCAAUAGUUUUUGUCACUUGUGGAAGAGCUCUGCUGUGAUUAGCUAGUUCAGAUGUACAAUUGGGAAGCAAAUAAUAGGCUAAACCUAUUAUGUUUCUUGUCAGGUUUUUAGUUUUAACAUCUCUUAACUUGUUCCUCUUUGUCUGACAAGGAAUUGGUAUUACUAAAGAUGAUUUCUAGAAAGUAUCUUUUCUUUUGUGGAUUGUCUUAUGGUAAUAUUCAGUACUGGACCGCAGUUCUACACAUAACAGUAUAUAAAAGGGUAACUCCAUUGGCACUUUUCGGAGCUUAAAGCUAGUUACACUCUUUCAAUUGGAAGCGGGAACCAAUUGAAUAAAUUGAAGUUCUAUUUUAUAUUUUGUUGAAUAUCUUCCUGAAGUGAGGAGCUCAUUUGCAAUUUUGCACCAGCGAAUAAAUAAUUUUCUUCAUGUCUCAUGUUAAUUUUCUCCGAUUACAUAACUAUGCAGCUCUCAGUUCACCUAGAAGAUAACCCAAUAUAAUUGUCUCUUCUAUCAACAUUUUCCCAUCAGAAUUCUCGUUGGGUUCCUGACUUGGUAUGCUCGUAUGUAUUGGCAUUGUUGUUGGACAUGGUGGUGGUGAAGUGUUGGACAAUAUGUGAGAUGGUUGCCUGGUGAGACAUGCUAGUAUGAUGUGAUGACUGAAAAGGUAUGGCUAAGUUGCAGGUUGGCCCAUCUGUGUAGUUUUUCGUAUUUUCUGGUGUUGUGGCUAGUGAUGCUCCACUUAUGAAAAUUCAUCCGUUGUAGCAUGUAGAAUUCAGACAUUUUCAGAAGCUACUUUCUCUGCAUAGCAGCUAGCAGUGAUGAUCAUUUCCAAAUCUUUCUUCUGUAUAAGGUGGUGUUUCCAUUGUAGACUGAACCCAUAUAGAUGGCCUUAUGCCAGUAAUCCGAUCUGGUUUAUCUUGGCA